GACGAACGCUGGCGGCGUGCUUAACACAUGCAAGUCGAACGGAAAGGCCCUGCUUGCAGGGUCCUCGAGUGGCGAACGGGUGAGUAACACGUGGGUGAUCUGCCCUGCACUUCGGGAUAAGCCUGGGAAACUGGGUCUAAUACCGGAUAGGAGCCAUUUUUAGUGUGAUGGUUGGAAAGUUUUUUCGGUGUAGGAUGAGCUCGCGGCCUAUCAGCUUGUUGGUGGGGUAAUGGCCUACCAAGGCGGCGACGGGUAGCCGGCCUGAGAGGGUGGACGGCCACAUUGGGACUGAGAUACGGCCCAGACUCCUACGGGAGGCAGCAGUGGGGAAUAUUGCACAAUGGGCGCAAGCCUGAUGCAGCGACGCCGCGUGGGGGAUGACGGCCUUCGGGUUGUAAACUCCUUUCGCUAGGGACGAAGCUUUUUGUGACGGUACCUAGAUAAGAAGCACCGGCUAACUACGUG
rnacentral:rRNA from 1 species